rnacentral:rRNA from 1 species
ACGGAGGGUGCAAGCGUUAAUCGGAAUUACUGGGCUUAAAGCGCACGCAGGCGGUUUAAUAAGUUAGAUGUGAAAUCCCCCGGCUCAACCUGAGAACUGCAUCCGAUACUGUCAAACUUGAGUCUUGGAGAGGGGGGUAGAAUUCCAGGUGUAGCGGUGAAAUGCGUAGAGAUCUGGAGGAAUACCGGUGGCGAAGGCGGCCUACUGGACGAAGACUGACGCUCAGGUGCGAAAGCGUGGGGAUCAAACAG